UAGCUUUGAACAACCGGCCCCAGGUUAUGAAAAAACAUAGAAGCAACAUGUUUUUGGAGUUAAUAAUUUUUUAUUAGAAAUAAUUUUUGGUAUUUGCAAAUUGCGCCCUGUGAGUGUUCGUGUGAAGAUUGCUCACCAGUUGAGUCAAGGCUGUCAGUAAAACCAGGAACAGCGGAACAACGGAACGGUUACGGAACGGGGAACACCGGAACAGUAAGAAUCCGAAAUAGAACAGCAAAAACAUUGUUUUAAAUAUUGGCAAAAAAAAUCGGGGAUGAUAGCUAUAAUGCUGUACAUGUUAGUUGAUGAUAGCUAUAAUGCUGUGCAUGCAUAACAGUUAUUCAGUUAAGUAUUGCCAAGAAAUUUGUCUGACCCUCGCUGUUCUUAUACGGCAGCAUUCUUGUUCGUUGUUUUUAUAUUAUAUAUGAUCAACUCCAGAUGCGCAUUUUAUAGCAAAAGACGUCUAAGACGUUUGCUAUACCCGGUAUAAUCUUUAAAACCCGACUUAUGCGAAUCAUAAUUUGUACUCAACUAUUAAGGUAAGUUACGGCUCCUCGCCGCAAGCCAAGCGUUACAGCAGACAUACACUGUAUUCAUGACUUUAUUAUUUUGCUAAAACCCAAACGCAAAAAAUAUCAAGUGCAAUAAAUACGUACACAGUUAUAAUGAAAAAUCUCCUGUUACAGAUUCGCAAUAAAGCGGAGCGAAGCGGAAAAGUCGAUUAGUGACGAAUACGAGUGCAAAAGGCAAUAUUCAAAACAGUCAUUGUUUUACAGUAUUAUAGUAUCACGCCAGAUUUUUUUGCCAACUUUAAAAAUAUUGUUUUUGCGGUUUUGUGUUCCGCAUGCUGUUUCGGAAACAUCAUUUCUGUUUCAGUCUUCCGCUGUUCCGUGUUCCCGUCUUCCGCUGUUCCUGAACCAAUACCGUUGAGCAAUGUAACAAAAUUAAAUGAUUUACUGUUACGGUGUUUUUCAAGACUAAAAUUGAAUUUCUGAAACUGAAAAUCUGAAAUCACUGGCCCAUCACUUGGUGAAUUAAAAAUGGUCUCAUAACUGGAGAAAUAAAUUUUCCAUCUAGUACAUAACCAUCAUCCGUUUGGAGUAGAUUCAGUGGUGUGGAAAACCACACUUGAAGUUGAUCAUCUGUUAUUCCAUCGAGAAGAAUCAACACACUGAAGUCACAAACUUUAGUUGGUAAAUGGCGAAAAGUUAAAAGCGUCCAAAUUUGCGUUUACCUUUAUUUUGUCAGGGAAGUUUGAUUGUAUUUCCACUGGUUUCCUCGGAGAAGAGAAAUAAAUGAGACCGGAUUUCCAGCAGCCGGCGCAGUUUUGGUCGCAUGAGAAUUUUCUAUUUUGCUCGUUUUGUAUUAUAAAAUCACAACAUUGAUGCAUCAUUGCAUGAUAAAUUGUGAAAAUAUGUAUAAUAUGAGGAAAUAUUGUUUAUAAUUCUUGUGAAAAGUGACCGAUCUAAGAGGUCCGUUUUGCUAAUGUGGCCAUGAUUAGCGGCUAUUAGGGCCUGAAUUCUAUUGUAGCUACUUAAUAAUAACUUCGCACCAAAUGUGGUAUAACAACUUCCUAAAUAGACAAAAAACGCUCUCCUUAUAGGUCGAAACGUCGAGAAGUGUUUCUUUGUCCGGACGGGGACCCUUAGGUCGAGAAGUGUUUUUUUUUCUAUUUCAGUAGACAGUUGUUACACCACAUUUGAUGCGAAGUUAUUCUUAAAUGGAUACGGUAAUUGUUAAGAUAAACAUUAAUAUUCAAAUGACGUCAGUCUAUCUAUGAACACGUGUCAUGAUCACAUGAACACUAGCAGUAUAAAGUUUUGUUUCAUGUAGUUGUUAAGUUAGUUGGAACUGUUCAAGUAGUUGAACUGUUGUAGUUGACUCCAGUACUU